rnacentral:rRNA from 1 species
UCGGUCCCUGAGUAAAGUGGCGCACGGGUGAGUAACACGUGACUAACCUACCCUUGAGUGGGGAAUAACUUCGGGAAACCGAGGCUAAUACCGCAUAAUACCCACGGGUCAAAGGAGCAAUUCGCUUGAGGAGGGGGUCGCGGCCGAUUAGUUAGUUGGCGGGGUAAGUGGCCCCACCCAAGACAGUGAUCGGUAUCCGGCCUGAGAGGGCGCACGGACACACUGGAACUGAAACACGGUCCAGACUCCUACGGGAGGCAGCAGUGGGGAAUUUUGCGCAAUGGGGGAAACCCUGACGCAGCAACGCCGCGUGGAGGAUGAAGUCUCUUGGGACGUAAACUCCUUUCGAUCGGGACGAUUAUGACGGUACCGGGAGAAGAAGCCCCGGCUAACUUCGUG